UUGAACGCUGGCGGCAGGCCUAACACAUGCAAGUCGAGCGGUUGAGAGUAGCUUGCUACUUGAUGCAGCGGCGGACGGGUGAGUAACGCGUGGGAAUCUGCCCAGUAGUGGGGGACAACAGCCGGAAACGGCUGCUAAUACCGCAUACGCCCUACGGGGGAAAGGGGGGGAUCUUCGGACCUCUCGCUAUUGGAUGAGCCCGCGUCGGAUUAGCUAGUUGGUAGGGUAAAGGCCUACCAAGGCUACGAUCCGUAACUGGUCUGAGAGGAUGAUCAGUCACACUGGAACUGAGACACGAUCCAGACUCCUACGGGAGGCAGCAGUGGGGAAUAUUGGACAAUGGGGGAAACCCUGAUCCAGCCAUGCCGCGUGUGUGAAGAAGGCCUUAGGGUUGUAAAGCACUUUCAGUGGGGAGAAAGGUUUGUCACCUAAUACGUGAUGAAAUUGAUGUUACCCACAGAAGAAGCACCGGCUAACUCCGUGCCAGCAGCCGCGGUAA
rnacentral:rRNA from 1 species